rnacentral:rRNA from 1 species
CGAGCGGUAGAGAUCUUUCGGGAUCUUGAGAGCGGCGUACGGGUGCGGAACACGUGUGCAACCUGCCUUUAUCUGGGGGAUAGCCUUUCGAAAGGAAGAUUAAUACCCCAUAAUAUUUUGAAUGGCAUCAUUUAAAAUUGAAAACUCCGGUGGAUAGAGAUGGGCACGCGCAAGAUUAGAUAGUUGGUGAGGUAACGGCUCACCAAGUCUGCGAUCUUUAGGGGGCCUGAGAGGGUGAUCCCCCACACUGGUACUGAGACACGGACCAGACUCCUACGGGAGGCAGCAGUGAGGAAUAUUGGACAAUGGGUGAGAGCCUGAUCCAGCCAUCCCGCGUGAAGGACGACGGCCCUAUGGGUUGUAAACUUCUUUUGUAUAGGGAUAAACCUUUCCACGUGUGGGAAGCUGAAGGUACUAUACGAAUAAGCACCGGCUAACUCCGUGCCAGCAGCCGCGGUAAUACGGAGGGUGCAAGCGUUAUCCGGAUUUAUUGGGUUUAAAGGGUCCGUAGGCGGAUCUGUAAGUCAGUGGUGAAAUCUCACAGCUUAACUGUGAAACUGCCAUUGAUACUGCAGGUCUUGAGUGUUAUUGAAGUAGCUGGAAUAAGUAGUGUAGCGGUGAAAUGCAUAGAUAUUACUUAGAACACCAAUUGCGAAGGCAGGUUACUAAGCAACAACUGACGCUGAUGGACGAAAGCGUGGGGAGCGAACAGGAUUAGAUACCCUGGUAGUCCACGCCGUAAACGAUGCUAACUCGUUUUUGGGCUUUCGGGCUCAGAGACUAAGCGAAAGUGAUAAGUUAGCCACCUGGGGAGUACGUUCGCAAGAAUGAAACUCAAAGGAAUUGACGGGGGCCCGCACAAGCGGUGGAUUAUGUGGUUUAAUUCGAUGAUACGCGAGGAACCUUACCAAGGCUUAAAUGGGAAAUGACAGGUUUAGAAAUAGACUUUUCUUCGGACAUUUUUCAAGGUGCUGCAUGGUUGUCGUCAGCUCGUGCCGUGAGGUGUUAGGUUAAGUCCUGCAACGAGCGCAACCCCUGUCACUAGUUGCCAUCAUUAAGUUGGGGACUCUAGUGAGACUGCCUACGCAAGUAGAGAGGAAGGUGGGGAUGACGUCAAAUCAUCACGGCCCUUACGCCUUGGGCCACACACGUAAUACAAUGGCCAGUACAGAGGGCAGCUACACAGCGAUGUGAUGCAAAUCUCGAAAGCUGGUCUCAGUUCGGAUUGGAGUCUGCAACUCGACUCUAUGAAGCUGGAAUCGCUAGUAAUCGCGCAUCAGCCAUGGCGCGGUGAAUACGUUCCCGGGCCUUGUACACACCGCCCGUCAAGCCAUGGAAGUCUGGGGUACCUGAAGUCGGUGACC